GACACCCCGUAUUUAUAACUUCAGCUGAGGCUAAGCAGCCUCCUCAUCGUUUUGCACCGAUCCUUCUUGUUGAUAUUCAAUAGGUGCCUAGCAUGUUUAACCCCAAUUCAUCUGUGCUCCUUCCCUCACUCCAGACACCUAACUCUCAUCCACUGCAGGUGCAACCUGACUAAUCUGGUCUACUUCUUCAUGCAGAACCUGCUUGACCCUCACCAGACUGGCUUCUGAUCCGGGCACUUGACAGACUGCCCUCCUGGCUGUGAUGGAGGCACUUGCCACUGCAAGAGCCUUAUGCCGCCUCUGUCCUGAUUCUUACAUCUGUCUGCAGCAUUUGACAUGGUCGACGACUACUCUUCACUUUGGCUGAGAUGGGAAUUUCUGGGACUGUCCUCUUUUGAUUUGCUUCCUAUCUUGCAGAUGGGUCCUACCAGGUCACCUGGAUGGGGUCUAUCUGCUCCCCUCACCCUUGUGUAGGAUAUGUAGUGUUUAGAUUUUGGCCUUAGAGGGAAACGGUGAUUAAGAAUGUGGCCUGGCCUCCCCGUCACAAAAGCAUCUGCCAAAUUAAUGUAAUCAAAUUCAUUGUCAUCAGUCAUUGAUUGUCACCUGUCCGAUGGACUUUGUUUUCAGGAAAAAUGAUUGUUUCUUCAGUUAGUAUUGUUCAUCAAUUAAGUUACUGAAUGAUAUUUAUCCAAUUGUUUCUAAGAAUAUUAUUUACUUUAAGGAUAUAAGCAAAUGGGUAAGUAAUUUUGAAAUUUGGGCUUUCAGAAUAGUGUGAAAACAGCAAAUGCAAUUAAAAAAAUAAAUUAAAAAAAAAAAGCAAA